ACUCCUGGCAGGGGUGGUGGUAUAGCGUCCCAGGCAGUGUCGCAGAGCCGGGGAGGGGAAGGGCAGAGCCUGAGCUCCAGUCCUCCUUCUCCCUCCCUGGCCCUCGGUGGUUGCUAAGCAGUUUCUAUGGCAGCAGCAUCCUCAGACUCAACUUUCACCCUCAUUUAGAGCCAAUUAAGGUAAAAUAGUGAGGGGCGGGAGCGGAGUGGCAACGUAACUGGGAGGCAGGGAAGCACUUGGAGGCUGUGAGCAAAGCCUUACUCUGUCAGACGCACAGGCACAGACACCCAGACGCAGCUUCAGUCUUCUUGCCUCGCUGCAGCCUGCUGAGCUGGCUGAGCCUGCAGAGCAGCCGCACUGAAAACCUCAGGACCCUUCCCAGCAUCGGAGAUCGGAGAUCCGCAGGUGUGCCUUUCCCACUCUCUGCUCCAGCCUGGCCUGCUGCCCCAGUCCCUGACAUCCCGUCAGGCCGAUUCUCUGACUGCUUGGCGCCUGUGCUUAUUUACUUUCUUACUAUCAACAUUUGAUUGGAAGAAAGGGAAAGUUUAAAAAAAUGCCCAUCGCACAGUUGCUGGAACUAUGGAAGAAGAUCGAGGUGGAACCCAUGGAGACAGAGACCACCGAAGAGGAACUCAGCCUGGACGUUGAGCCCACCCCAGAAGAUACCACAGAAGAAGGCAAAGGAGACACAACCCCCUCAGCUGAGACGCAGCCAGCCUCCUCGUCUUCUGCAGAGUCUGAUGAAGCAAACUGUGAUGUGCUUUUUGGAAGAGUAAGACAUAAAACUGAAAACUUCUGACAUUCUAGG